CCUACGGGAGGCAGCAGUGAGGAAUAUUGGUCAAUGGGCGGGAGCCUGAACCAGCCAAGUCGCGUGAGGGACGACGGUCCGAUGGAUUGUAAACCUCUGUUGUCGGGGAACAAAGGCGCCCACGGGUGGGCGGAUGAGUGUACCCGAAGAAAAAGCAUCGGCUAACUCCGUGCCAGCAGCCGCGGUAAUACGGAGGAUGCGAGCGUUAUCCGGAUUUAUUGGGGUUACAGGGUGCGUAGGCGGACAGUCAAGUCAGCGGUAAAAAUGCGGUGCUCAACGCCGUACAGCCGUUGAAACUGGCAGUCUUGCGUGGGCGCGCAGUCUGCGGAAUGCGUGGUGUAGCGGUGAACUGCAUAGCUCUCACGCAGAACUCCGAUUGCGACGGCAGCAUACCGGCGCCCGACUGACGCUGAGGCACGAAAGCGUGGGUAUCGAACAGGAUUAGCUACCCCUGUAGUC
rnacentral:rRNA from 1 species